rnacentral:lncRNA from 1 species
GUUUUGUACCGGAUGUCGUAUAUUUACAGACUGAUCGGUCAGAAUAUAAAAAUCAAGAUAUGGCCAUGAGACAAAUCUUCACAAGAGACUACAUAACACAGAUAUUAACAACUAUAGGUCCCGUACGGCCGCCAACAAUGAGCAAAGCCCAUACCACAUCGUCACUUAUAAAAAACCUCGAAAUUACAAUUGUAAAACAAUUCAAAAGAAUAACUAAAGGUCUAAUCAAUGUACAAAAAAGAACAAAAAACAAAUAAGUAACACUGCAAACAUGUAAACGACGACUACUGCCUUACAGGCUCCUGAUUUGGGACAGGCACAUACAUACAUAAUGUGGCGGAGUUAAACAUGUAACCUGGGACAGUUGUGUAACAGUACAACAUAAGAAAGAACUACAAAAAUCAGUUGAAGAGGAUUAACUCAUCAGUUUAAUACAAAUAGAAACACAUCAGAGUGG